AUGGGGAGGGAAAAAGGUGCGCUUGUGUAUAGUUUCACUACAUAUGUGCAAACGUUGUGCAAAACAUGGUCAUUAUUAUUAUUGUGUAUGUUUUGUUUGCUGGGCCGCAAAUAUAUUCAUUGUGGGCUGCAUGUGGCCCGCAGGCCCCGUGAGUUUGACACCCUUGCUCUUGAUUAUUGUAUUUUAUUCACAUUGUCAGCUAACUAAAUAUCAUAUCAACUCUAAUAAAUUAUUUAGUAUAUUCUCUACUAUAACUGAUGAUAGUUGUUUUUAAUGCAAAUAAAAGCAAUACUAAUCCACUAAGAGAUCUUGUUUACUCUAUAUGUGUAAAUACAGUAUACAACUACUACUCACUUAAUGACCAAAUUCCAUUCCCAUGAUUUAGUCAUACAACAAAUUGUUUAGUAAGUGAGUAACUGGUUUGUAUAUAUUUAGAAAAUAUUGGAAAC
rnacentral:lncRNA from 1 species